rnacentral:sRNA from 1 species
GCUAUGCCUAGGUUGAUCCCCGAAAAUCCGUACAUAUCUGCGGGCUGGCAUAGUCGCUAAUACCUAAAGG